ACCCAGAUGCCAGAGUGGUUAAUGGGUAAGACUUGAAUUAUAUUCGGUAUCUUAUGGUUUCGGCCUCGUAGGUUCAAAUCCUGCUCGCGACG